GAAAUGCGAUAAGUAAUGUGAAUUGCAGAAUUCAGUGAAUCAUCGAAUCUUUGAACGCACCUUGCGCUCCUUGGUAUUCCUUGGAGCAUGCCUGUUUGAGUAUCAUGAAAUCUUCAAAGUAAAUCUUUUGUUAACUCAAUUGGUUUCUACUUUGGUAUUGGAGGUCUUUGCAGCUUCACACCUGCUCCUCUUUGUUCAUUAGCUGGAUCUCAGUGUUAUGCUUGGUUCCACUCGGCGUGAUAAGUUAUCUAUCGCUGAGGACACUGUAAAAGGUGGCCAAGGUAAAUGCAGAUGAACCGCUUCUAAUAGUCCAUUGACUUGGACAAUCCUUUUAUGAUCUGAUCUCAAAUCAGGUAGGACUACCCGCUGAACUUAAGC
rnacentral:misc_RNA from 1 species